rnacentral:piRNA from 1 species
UACUGCACACUCUGUGAUAUUAG